GGCCGGUUGGUGUAGUUGGUUAUCACGUAUCCUUCACACGGAUAAGGUCCUGGGUUCGAGUCCCUGACCAGUCA
rnacentral:tRNA from 10 species